GAACGUAUGGGUUUGGUAACGCGAUCCAAUAUUGGACCGGAGGUGCAUGGCACAGAAGGUGUUUGCACGUUUUGCGCGUUCACGCGUCACCACCUAGCGCUCCCCCUCCUUGCUGUUUCGGUUUUUUUCUCCCGUCGUGGCAAUCCCGCGAUUUUAGGUACGUGAUUUUUGGUCCGAAAAAGCGGUAAAGUGCGACUGAACAAUGCAAUCCAGUAGCGUGAUGCUGGUGGUUCUGCUCCUCGAAGUGCUCUGCCGGGCCGCACCCCCCAGCACGGAGAUGGUGACCCUGGAAGUGGAGUUGGGGGCCAUGGCGAUCUUCCCCUGCAAUGGCUCCUCCUUUCUGGGGCUGGGGGCCGGCGGGGGGCUCGGG